GGAGGCAUUUAGGUAGUGCACUGCGGCUGGGCGCGGGGCCUGUUUGCCUGUGACGCCCACCCCCGGCUUUUAUCAGCCUAUGCCCUAGUGCUAGUGGAAGACUUAAGAUGGCGGCGUUUGCUCGGGAUACAAUUACUGCGUCCUUAAAGGGGGUUGCAAGGCGUCCGAAGUAUGACUCCACUAACAAAAGUACAGAAACUCUCCAGUUAUAUUGUUGUGUGUUGCUCUGUUGCCCAGGCUGGAGUGCAGUGGUGUGAUGUCGGCUCAUUACAACCUCUGCCUCCCAGGUUCAAGUGAUUCUCCUGCCUCAGUCUCCCGAAUAGCUGGGCAUUACAGCUGGCCGCCACCAUGCCCAGGCUGGAGUGCAAUGGUGCGAUCUUGGCUAACUGCAACAUCUGCCUCCCGGGUUCAGGCGAUUCUCCUGCCUCACCUCGCCCUGCUGAUUUUUAUUUUUUUGUAUUUUCAGUAGAGACGGGAUUUCUCCACGUUGGUCAGGCUGCUCUUUAACUCCUGAUCUCACGUGAUCCACCCGUCUUGGCUUUCCAAAGUGCUGGGAUUACACACGGGAGCCACUGCGCCCAGUUUGGAAUUGAUUUCUUAAUUUCAUUUUUGUAUUGUUCAUUGCUAAUAGGUAGGAAAACAGAACAAUUUAUAUAGGUUUUUUUUUUUUUUUUAGAUGCAGUUUUUAUCCUUGUUACCCAGGCUGGAGUGCAGUGGCGCGAUCUUGGCUCACUGCAAGCUCUGUCUCCUGGGUUCAAGCAAUUCUGCUUCAGCGUCCAAGUAGCUAGGAUUACAGGUGCCCACCACCAUGCCUGGCUAAUUUUUUGUAUUUUUAGUAGAAAAGGGGUUUCAUCAUGUUGGCCAGGCUGGUCUCGAACUCCUGACCUCAGGUGAUCCACCUGUCUUGGCCUCCCAAAGUGCUGGGAUUACAGGUGUGAGCCACUGCACCUGGCAUGUAGGUUUGUAUUCUACAGCCAACUCUUCUCAGAGGAAGUAUAGAUAGAUAUGUAUACCAACCCAUGUAUAGAUACCUAUUUAUAUAUAUUUUUGUAUGUAACUAUCGAUAUUUUAGUUGGCUGCACAUGAGUUCCUACUGAUAUUUCUAACUAAUCCAUUACCACAUGGUUAAUUCUAGUCAUGUAUCUCCUUGUUUGUCUAUAUUCACUCCAACAGAGAAGAGCCUGUCUUCUAACAUUUACCAUUCAUUUACAUGAUUGUACUACUUCAUUAUACAGGUAGAGCUGUUUCAAAAUUGUUGAUUUUUACCUUCACUGGAAACAACUUUAUCAACUGGAAUAUAAUGCUUACGUAUAGCUUCUUUUGCAUUUAGUCUUACUCCACUUAUUAAUGGUAGGAGACUGGAUGUUACUGCUCAGAUCAGGAACAGUGCAAAGAUGUCCUCUCUCAUCACUGCUGAUACAAGAAAAAGAAAUAUAGACUAGAAUGGAAGAAAUAAAUCUUUCCUUGUAGAAUAUAAGAUUGUCUACCUAGACGUUUUUAGAGCAUCUCCCAAAACUUGGAACUAAUAAAUGAGAGUAAGAAGGACACAAGGUAUUACAGUUACUUUUCAUUUUCUGUUAAUUUUGGCAUCUCAUAUUUGAGUCUGGGUUUGAAGAUUGUAUUCUUUUCAGAUGGUAUUUUUUUCUGUUUUCGUAUACAUUAUAAUUAUGGUUGAGAGUCAGACAUUGUAUAAUGUAGUAGAUACUGAGAUAUAUAUAUAUUUUUUCUUUGAGAUAAGCACACCUUUUCUUCAUCUAGGCUAUUAUUGUGGAGGUUUGUGUGAAAUUAGGAGUUGGGCUGGGAUUAAAGUUUGUUGUUAGCAUGGUUACUUUCUGUGCAUCAGAAACUUCAAACCCUGUAAAUGAUACCUUUUUUUUUUUUUUUUUUGAGAUGGAGUUUCGCUUUUUACCCAGGCUGGAGUGCAAUGGCGUGAUCUCGGCUCACCGCAACCUACCCCUCCUGGGUUCAAGCAGUUCUCUUGCCUCAGCCUCCUGAGUAGCUGGGAUUACAGGCACGUGCCACCAUGCCCAGCUAAUUUUUGUAUUUUUAGUAGAGACGGGGUUUCACCAUGUCGACCAGGAUGGUCUCCAUCUCUUGACCUCGUGAUCCACCCGCCUCGGCCUCCCAAAGUGCUGGGAUUACAGGCGUGAGCCACCGUGCCCAGCGAUACCUUGUUUUUGUACCUUGCUAGGCUUUGGAUUUUUACCUUUUCACUCUUCUCUAGAGAGGGGCUGUGUUUUUCAGUUCUCCCCUGUGCAUUACUCUAAUUUUACUUGAUAUUUAUUAUUUAUUAGCCUGUGGUUGGGGGGGUCGGGGGAAGAGGCAUAUUCUCUAAUGUUCUGAUUUAGACUCAGCCUUAAGUAGGCACUGUGAAUGGGGUCCUUGUGGGUGUCACUAUCGUAAGUCGUUUUUCUUCGGCGUCAAUGCCUAGUAUUUAUUUCCAUUCCUCCCCUAAGGCUAAAAAGCUUUAUGUGUUCCUUAUUUCCUUACCCAGCCCUUGUUGGCUUCCACUCCAGGGUGUCCCCGAAAAUUGCCCUAAGGUUUUUGCUCCUUAGGUGAGAUAAGAGACCUCUGGGAAAUUUUAGUCUGCCUUAUAUUCCCUUACCCAGUACUUCAUGAUCUUUUCUGUAAGUUAAGAAAGGUAGAUCUGGUUUGAUUUUUCAGCCAUAGCUGCUAUUUCUUUCCCCCAGAUAGUAACAAAGGGGUCUUUCUCUGUGAUCUCUGAUCUUUCCUGUGGCUACCUGUUGAUAAUAGCUCCAGGUGUCUGCAACCCCACCUCCAUAUUUGAAACCUGAGGGGCUUCCUAAUCUCAUGCUAGCCCACACUAGGCCUUUAGGCAACUGAUUGUAAUUUCUAGUUAAAUCUUUCUACCUGCUUGUAUAUUGACGUUCAUGGCAUUUGUCCCAGUAAUCAAAUGCUCAGAUUCUGUUUUUCCUUGCAGGUACCUACCUUUUUUCAGAUUUCUGUAUUUUUUUGUCCUGUGAUUUCACUUCUCUGAUAGGGUCAAAAAAAAAUCAUAACUUUGCUUUUGUCAAGCCUUUUCUAAGUGAGGUAGUUAUGUUGUUUUUAGAGCCCUAUAUAUUUGAGGUUUGUCGUCUUUGUUAUUUUUAUUUCUGUUUCUUACAUUUUUCUUCUGUAUCAUUUGAACAUUUUUUAGUAUUCCAUCUUAAUUAUCUUUAUUUAUUUUGAGACAGAGUCUCACUCUUAUCCAGGCUAGAGUGCAAUGGCAUACUCUCAGCUCACUGCAACUCCCGCAUCUUGGGUUCAAGCAAUUCUUCUGCCUCAGGCUCACGAGUAGCUGAGACUAACCACAGGCAUGUGCCACGACGCCUGGCUAAUUUUUGUAUUUUCAGUAGAGACAGGGUUUUGCCACGUUGGCCAGGCUGGUCUGGAACUCCUGACCUCAGAUGAUCUGCCUGCCUAGGCCUCUCAAAUGCUGGGAUUAUACAGGUGUGAGCCACUGUGCCCACCCUUAAUUAUCUUUUAUACAUUCGAAUUGUAUCUCAUAAACAAUCAUCUAACAGUUUAGGUAGAUUUAAUGUUUUACCACUUGAGGUAAAACAUGGAAGCCUUAUACCCAUAUGCAUCUCUCUAUACUCCCUCACUGAUUUAUUUUUUCUCACUAAUUUUUUAAAUAGUUGCCAUGUGUUUUGCAUUUGCAUUGUGUUUCCACUUCCAGGAGUUAUACAUAUUUUAAAUAAGAAGAGAAAAAGAGUCUUUUAUGUUUACUUAGUAAUUUACCACUUCUUUUUUUUUAACCAGUUCUUUUGUUUUUCCCUCAUCCUUAAAGAUCUAAGCUUUCCCUAGUUAAUCAUUUCCCUUCAGACUAAAGACCUCCUUUUAUCAUUUAAUCACCACUCUGCCUGAGGUGAAUUGUCUUAAAUUCCCUUCAUCUAGGCAUGUGUUCAUUUCACCUUCAUUCCUGAAAAACAUUUUCACUCGCUGGAUAUAGAAUUGGUAAUUGAUGGGAUUUUUUUUUUUUCUUGCAGCUCUUUAAAGGUAUUUUUCUACUACUGUCCUUCAUAGUUUCUGAUAAUAAAUUUGCCGUCGUUUGAAUCAUUCCUUCGUCAUAUGUAAUGUGCUGGGUUCUUUUAUAGCUGUUUUCAAAUUUUUUCCUUUUUCCUUAGUUUUCAGCAAUUUAUGGUAUUUCUGGGCACGCCUUUUCAGUUUAUAUUGUUUGGCUUUGCUGAAGUUAAAUAUGUAGAUUUAUCUUUUAUCAAAUUGGGAAGUUUUUGGCUGUUAUUUCUACAAACAUUUUUUCUGCAUGAUUUUUUUUUUCUCAUUCUGAGACUGUGAUGACAUGUAUGUUAGACAUUUUGCUAUUGUUCCAUAGGUCCUGAGGUUUGUUCUGUUUCAAUCUUUUUUAAUUCUAUUUUUCAGAUUGGGUAAUUUCUAUUGAUCUCAAAUUCUGUUUCAUGUUCCUGUCUGCAUUCUGCUAUUGAGAUCUCCAGUGGAUAUAUAUUUUUUAUUGUAAAUGUUGUAUGUUUUCACUAAAAAACAUCUCAAUUUGGUUCUUUUUUUAAGUGUUGCUAAGGUAUAAUAUACCAUAAAAAUUAUCCAUUGUAAGUGUACAAUUCACCUAGUUUUAGUAAACUUAUAGCUUGAAGCUGUCAUCAGAAUCCAGUUUUAAAACAUUUUAUUAUUUCCAAAAGUUUCUUCAAGCCCAUUUAUAGUCUCUUCUGCUCCCGUCCCAGGCUACCUCGAUAUCCUGUCUUUAAGUUCAUCCUUUCUAGACAUUUCAUGUAAAUGAAAUCAUACAGGAUUUGUUCUAUUGAGUCUGACCUCCUUCAUUUAUUAAAAUGUUUCUGAGAUUUAUUCAUGUGGUAGCAUUUAUAAGUAUUUUAUUCCUUUUUAGAGCUGAGUAUUAUUCAGUUUUAUAAAUAUGUCACAUUUUGUUUCUCUGUGCAGCACUUGACUAAAAGUUGGAUUGUUUCCUUUUUUGUUUUUUUUUUUUUUGGUGGGAGGGCUAUUAUGAUGAAUAAACACUGCUGUGAACAUUAAUGUAAAUGUCCUAAUAUAUUUUCAUUUCUAUUCUGUAGAUUCCUUAGAAUAGAAUAGCUGGGUUAUAUAGCAAGUAUUUAUUCAGCUUUUAAAGAAACUACCAAACUGAUUUCCAAUGUGAAUAUGCUAUUUUACAUUUUCACCAACCAUGUAUGAGUUAACAUUUAUUUCUCCACAUCAUCACUUGUUAUUAAAGCAGGAGCAACUGUAAGAAACAGACCUCUCGAACACGGGACUGGGAAGGAAGGGGUGAUUUAUUUGGCCGGGAGCAAGGUGGUAUAGUUGCCUAGCAGCCAAGCUCAUCUAACAAAGGAAACCUCUGCCUUUAUAUAGGCUUACAACGCUAGAUAUUACAUGUGAAAGGGUCUUGGGUUUACAGUUUUAGAAAGUACAUGUGAGGGGGUCGUGAUCAAUGAUGGGGGUUUGUUGAGCAAGAUUGAAUGGGAACAAUAGAGGGCAUUUCUCCAUAUUGUCCCCACCCUUAAGAUCACCUGAGAUCAUAAGGGUGGUGGGGGGAGUUUUUAAUCUUUAACCUCCAGGCCACUGAUGUCAUGCCUGCUAUGUCUCAACUUUUACUUCCUCCUCCUUUGAGACAAGAGACUGGAAAGAGGAGUUUCUUUCCUCAUUAUUACCUGAUUAUAGCCAUUCUAAUUGGUGUGAAGUAGUAUCUCAUCGUGAUUUUGUUUCGACUUUUCUUAAAUUCUAACGGAAUCGAGCAUCUUUUCAUUUGCUUAUUGGUCAUUUUUAUGUCUUUGAUGAAAUAUCUAUUUAAAUCUUGUUCAUUUAAAAUUACUUUCUUAUUACAUUGUAGGAGUUCUUUAUUUUGUACUCAAGUGUGUUAUCAGAAAUGUGAUUUCCACAUUUUUUUCUCAGUCUGUAGCUUGUCUUUUUAUUUUCUUAAUGGUGUCAUUUGAAGUACUAAAAUUUUUAAUUUUCAUGAAGUCCAUUACAUCAGUUGUUUUCUGUGUCUGGUCUUUCAUCAGUUGAUUAUUGUUGAUACUUUAGUUUUAAAGUUGGGUAGUGAAAGAUCAUGUACUUUGUGGUAUUUCAACAUUAUUUCAGGUGAUCUGCAUUCUUUGCAUUUAAAAUGAGCUUGCAAUUUUCUAUUUAAAAAAAGCUUUCUGAGAUUUUGAUAGGGACUGCAUUGAAUUUAUAGAUCAAUAGGAUAAGACUUGCCUUCAUAAAUAUAUAUUGCAUUGUCAAGUCCAUGAACAAGGAUUUUCAUAUAGUUUCAUCCAUUUAUAUAUCUGCUUCAAAUUCUACGUGCAGUAUUUUGCAGUUUUUAGUGUAUAAAUCUUUCUCUUCUUUUGUUAAAAUUAUUUUAAGUGUUUUAUUCUUUUUGAUGCUAUUCAGAAUGGAGUUCUCUUAAUUUCAGUUUAUUGCUAGUAUACAGAUAUAUAAUUGAUUUUAGUCUUUUAUGUGUGUAUGUUUUCUUUUUUAGAAGUUAAGAAUUAGUAAUAGUAACAUUAUUUUAAUCUUGUAUCUGAUUACUUCCUUAAACUUUUGUUAGUUAUAGUAGUUAUACUGUGGAAUUCUUAGGUUAAGAAUAAGGAUUCCAGCCGAGCACAGUGGCUCACGCCUAUAAUCCCAGCACUUUGGGAGGCCGAGGCGGGUCUAUCACGAGGUCAAGAGAUCGAGACCAUCCUGGUCAACAAGGUGAAACCCUGUCUCUACUAAAGAUACAAAAAUUAGCUGGGCAUGGUGGCACACGCCUGUUGUCCCAGCUACCCGGGAGGCUGAGGGAGGAGAAUUGCUUGAACCCAGGAGGCGGAGGUUGCGGUGAGCCAAGAACGCGCCAUUGCACUCCAGCCUGGGUAACGAGCAAAACUCUGUCUCAAAAAUAAAUAAAUAAAUAAAUAAAUAAAUAAAUAAAUAAAUAAAUAAAUAAAUAAAUAAGGAUUCCAUAAUAGAACUACAAAUAGGAUCAUUUCAUAUGCAAAUAAGGGCAAUUUUAUUUCUUCUCCAGUCUCACUGUCUUUACAUUUUUUUCCCUUAUAUUUACUGCCCAAAACUCCCAUGUUGACUAGGAGUGGUGAGAAAGCUGGUGCAGUGGCUCAUGCAUGUAAUCCCAGUUCUUUGGGAGGCCAGGGUGGGUGGAUCUCCUGAGCUUAAAAGUUCAAGACUGCCCUGAGCAACAUGGUGAAACCUUGUCUCUAUAAAAACAAAUAUGGUAGCUGGGCAUGGUGGCAUGUGCCUGUAGUCCAAGCUACCAGGGAGGCUGAGGUGGGAGGAUUACCUGAGCCUGGGAGGUCAAGGCUGCAGUGAGCCAUGAUUGUGCCACUGCACUCCAGCCUGGGCAACAAAGACCCUGUCUCAAAGAAAAACAAAACCCCCACAAAAACAAAAAAAUAAGUGGUGAGAAUGGGAAUCUAUGUCUUAUUCCCAACUUCUGGAGAAAGUAAAGCACUAAAUCUUUCUGCAUUAAGUAUGACUUUAGUUACCUGUUUUUGUUAAUUGUUUUAUAGGUUUCUUUUGUUAGAUUAAAUAAGUUCUUUUUCAUUCUUAGUUUUGGGAGAAUUUUAAAGCCUGAAUGGGUUUUCAGUUUAGUCAAAUUCUAUUUUUAUGUCUACUGAGGUGAUAAUACAGUUUUAAAUGUAAUAUAUUGAAUUACAUUGAUUGAAUUUUGAGUUAUGAAACAGGCUUAGAUUUUACGAAAAAAGUAGGGUUCUACUUUGUCAUAAUAUAAUGUUAUAAGUAAAAUUUUGACGCCACAAAAUAAAUAGCACUCAAAGAUAUGUCCUCUCAGCAAGGCAGUUUUAGGCUGGGCUUGUUCGUCACAUCGGGUAGGUCUCUACCCCUUACCCAGGAGGCUGCUGUAAAAUGAAGCAGCAGGACGCGUCUCCUCAAAAGAGAGGGUCUGAGACUGCCUGGAAGAGAACAGUGAAUCCUGGACAAGCCCCCAGAAUUGUUAAAAGUAAAAUUUCGAUGCCGCAAAAGAAAUAGCACUCGAAGAUAUGUUCUUUCAGCAAGGCAGUUUACUUCUAUAGGAGGGUUCGGGGGGUACGGAUGGAGUAAUGAUGGCGGCCGCAGGCUUGGACAAGGGGGGAAGGGGUACUUAUGCUUGAUGAGGGGUUGUUCCUGCUGCUGUGUCAUCCCCUAUUGGCUAGGAUUUGACCGCAGAAGCUAGACUAAUCCCAAUCAGCUAUUUUAAAAAGAGUAGGGAGUCUGAGCUGGAGUGGCAGGGUGGGUGUUUUGGUGGGAAGAAUGGUUAUGGGCAUGUCAGAGCAGGUAGCCAGGGGAGAUAAUGUGACCUGGAUGCCUCAGGAUACAGCCAGCGGGGAGGGAGAGCAGAUGUGAACUAGCGAUGAACUGGUGGAGAAGGUUUUUUGCUGGAAUUACGAGGAAGUUAAACUUUAAAAUAGAGAUUUAAAGAAUAAGAGAGUUGAACAUGCUGACAUACUGAUUCUUUGAAGAGAAACUUGGGGUUCACUAUAACAUAUAAUUUACCUAAUUUUCAUAUUGUUGGAUUAGAUUUCCUAACAUUUUGUUAAGAAUUGUUGCAUUUGAGUCAACCUAGAUAGGUGCCCAUCAAUGGUCAACUAGAUAAAGAAAAUGUGAUAUAUUUAUAUCAUGGAAUACUAUGCAGCCAUAAAAAAUGAAAGCAUAUCUCUUGCAGCAACAUGGAUCUAGCUGGAGACCUUUAUCCUAAGCAAAUUAAUGCAGGAACAGAAAACCAAAUACCCCAUAUUCUCCCUUGUAAGUGGGAAGUAAACAUGAGUACACAUGGACACAAAAAUAUAAACAAUAGACACCAGGGCCUACUCAAGAGAGGAUAGUGGAAGGAGGGUGAGGUUCAAAACUAACUACCUAUUAGGUACUAUGCUUACUACCUGGGUGAUGAAAUAAUUUGUACACCAAACCCCAGUGGCACACAAUUUACUCAUUAACAAACUGUAUAUGUAUACCUUGAAACCAAAAUAAAAGUUGGAAAAAAACCAUGGAAUGUAACAUUUAUCUUCAUGAGGAAGAUUGGAAAGUAAUUUUCUUUUCUUAUAAUGUCUUUGUGAGGUUUAAUAUCAGGGUAUUUGUGGCCACAUUAAAAUGAGUAGGACAUUAAGUACUAUCUCUUGAGUUUUCUGUAAUGAAUUUUUUAGAAUCCGUAUUUUUCUUAUUAUUUUUUGAGAUGGAGUCUCACUCUAUCGCCCAGGCUGGAGUCCAGUGGUGAUACGUGGGUUCACUGCAACCUUUGCCUCCUGAGUUUAAGCAAUUCUCUCUUCCUCAGUCCUCCAAGUAGCUGGGAUUGCAGGUGUGUGCCACCACACUGGCUAAUUUUUUUUGUAUUUUUAGUAAAGACGGGGUUAUACCAUGUUGGCCAGGCUGACCUCAGGUGAUCCACCUGCCUCGACUUCCCUAAGCUCUGGGAUUACAGGUAUGAGCCACUGUGCCCGGCCUAGUAUUUUAAUUGUACUUUUGCCCCUGGGAUACAUGUGCACAUCCUGCAUCCUGCAGGUUUGUUGCAUAGGUACAUACACGCCAUGGUGGUUUGCUGUCUCCAUCCACCCUUUGCUCUGUCGCCUACAUCAGGCAUUUCUCCUGGUGUUAUCCCUCCCCAUCCUCCCUGCCACCCCGCUGCCGCUGUCCUUCUGCUCUCCCCCCACGUGUCCCCUGAGUGUUGUUCCCUUCCCUGUGCCCAGUUGUUCUCAUUGUUCAUCAGUUGCCUGUGAGUGAAAACAUGUGGUGUUUGGUUUUCUAUUCUUAUGUCAGUUUGCUGAGAAUGAUGGUUUGUAGAUUCAUCCCUGUCUCUACAAAGGACGUGAACUCAUUGUUUUUUUAUGACUGCAUAGUAUUCCAUGGUGUAUAUGUGCCACAUUUUCGUUCUCCAGUCUGUCAUUGAUGGGCAUUUGGGUUGGUUCCAGGUCUUUGCUAUCAUAAAUAGUGCCACAACGAACAUACGUGUGCAUGUGUAUUUAUAAUAGAAUGAUUUAUAAUCCUUUGGGUAUAUACCCAGUAAUGGGAUUGCUGGGUCAAAUGGAAUUUGUAUUUCUAGAUCCUUGAGGAAUCGCCACACUGUCUUCCAGUAAUGGUUGAAGUAAUUUAUACUCCCACCAACAGUGUAAAAGUGUUCCUUUUUCUCCAUAUCCUCUGCAGCAUCUGUUGUCUCCAGAUUUAUUAAUAGUUGCCAUUCUGACUGUCGUGAGAUGGUAUCUCAAUGUGGUUUUGAUUUGCGCUUCUCUAAUGACCAGUGAUAAUGAGCAUUUUUUUCAUAUGUUUGUUGGCUGUAUAUAUGUCUUCUUUUGAAAAGUGUCUGUUCAUAUCCUUUGCCCACUUUUGAAUGGGUUUGCUUGUUUUUUUCCUUGUAGAUCUACUUUAGUUCUUUGUAGACUCUGUAGAUACCCUUUGUCAGAUGGGUAGAUUGCAGAAAUUUUUUCCUAUUCUGUUGGUUCAUUCUAAUGAUUGUUACUUUUGCUGUGCAGAAGCUCUUAAGUAUUCCUAGGUAUUUUAUUCUCUUUGUGGCAAUUGUAAAUGGGAGUUCACUCAUGAUUUGGCUCUCUGUUUGUCUGUUGUUGGUGUGUAGGAAUGGUUGUGAUUUCUGUGCAUUGAUUUUUGUAUCCUGAGACUUUGGCGAAGUUGUUUAUCAGCUUGAGCAGGUUUUGGGCUGAGAUGAUGGGGUCUUCUAAAUACAGGAUCAUGUCAUCUACAAAUAGGGACAGUUUGACUUCUUCUUUUCCUAAUUGAAUGCCCUUUAUUUCUUUUUCUUGCCUAAUUGCUCUGGCUAGAACUUCCAAUACUAUAUUGAAUAGGAGUGGUGAGAGAGGGCAUCCUUGUCUAGUGCCUGUUUUUAAAGGUAGUGCUUCUAGUUUUUGCCCAUUCAGUAUGAUAUUGGCUGUGGGUUUGUUGUAAAUGGCUUUUAUUAUUUUGAGAUAUUGUUCCAUUGAUACCUAGUUUAUUGAGAGUUUUUAGUAUAAAGGGCUGAUGAAUUUUGUCUAAGGCCUUCUCUGAUCUGUUGACAUAACCAUGUGGUUUUUGUGUUUGGUUUUGUUCAUGUGGUAGAUUACGUUUAUAGAUUAGCAUGUGUAUGUUGAACCAGCUUUGCAUCCCUGGGAUGAAGCCUACUUGAUUGUGGUGGAUAAGCUUUGUGAUAUGCUGUUGGAUUCAGUUUGCCAGUAUUUUAUUGAAGAUUUUUGCAUCAGUGUUCGUCAUGGAUACUGGCCUGUAGUUUUCUUUUUCAGUUGUGUCUUUGCCAGGUUUUGGUAUCAGGAUGAUGUUGGUCUCAUAGAAAGAGUUAGGGAGGAUUCCCUGUUUUUGUGUUGUUUGGAACAGUUUCAACAGGAAUGGUACCAGCUCCUCUUUGUAAAUCUGGUAGAAUUCAGCUAUGAACCCGUCUGUACCUGGACUUUUUUUGGUUGGUAGGCUGUUAAUUGCUGCCUCAACUUCAGACCUUGUUACUGGUCUAUUCAGGGUUUCAACUUCUUCCUGGCUUAGUAUUGGGAGUGUGCAAGUGUCCAGGAAUUUAUCCAUUUCUUUCAGAUUUACUGGUUUAUGUGCGUAGAGAUGUUUGUAGUAAUCUCUGAUGGUAGUUAGUAUUUCUAAGGAACUGGUGGUGAUCUCCCCUUAAUCAUUUUUUAUUGCAUCUAUUUGAUUCUUCUCUCUUUUCUUUUUUAUUAUUCUAGCUAGCAGUCUGUCUAUUUUGUUGAUCUUUUCAAAAACCAGCUCCUGGAUUUAUUGAUUUUUUUUGAAGGGUGUUUUGUGUCUCUAUCUCCUUCAGUUCUGCUCUGAUCUUAGUUAUUUCUUGUCUUCUGCUUGCUUUUGAGUUUUUUUGAUCUUGCUCCUCUAGUUCUUUCAAUUUUGAUGAUAGGUUGUCAAUUUUAGAUCUUUCCUUGUUUCUCGUGUGGGCAUUUAUUGCUAUAAAUUUCCCUCUAGACACUGCUUUAAAUGUGUCCCAGAGAUUCUGGUACAUAGUAUCUUCUUUCUUGUUGGUUUUGAAGAACAUUUUUUUGUUCAUCCUUCAUUUCAUUGAUUAUCCCUUUGUCAUUCAGGAGCAAGUUGUUCAGUUUCCAUGUGAUUGUGCGGUUUUGAGUGCUUUUCUUAAUCCUGAGUUCUAAUUUGAUUGCUCUGUUGUCUGAGAGACUGUUUGUUAUGAUUUCCAUUCUUUUGCAUUUUCUGAGGAGUGAUUUACUUCCAAUUACGUGGUCAAUUUUAGAGUAGGUGUAAUGUGGUGCUGAAAAGAAUGUAUAUUCUGUGAAUUUGGGGUGGAGAUUUCUGUAAAUGUCUAUGAGGUCCACUUGGCCCAGAUCUGAGUUCAAGUCCUGGAUAUCUUUGUUAAUUUUCUGUCUCGUUGACAUGUCGAAUAUUAUCAGUGGAGUGUUAAAGUAGGUGCAGUCUGGUGCUGAGAAGAAUGUAUAUUCUGUGGAUUUGGGGUGGAGAUUUCUGUAAAUGUCUGUUAGGUCUGCUUGGUCCAGAUCUGAGUUCAAUUCCUGGAUAUCCUUGUUAAUUUUCUGUAUUAUUGAAAUGUCGAAUAUUAUCAGUGGAGUGUUAAAGCCUCCCACUGUUAUUGUGCAGGAGUCUCAUUGUAGGUCCUUAAGAACUUGCUUUAUAUAUCUGGGUGCUCCUGCAUUGGGUGCAUGUAUAUUUGGGAUAGUUAGUUCUUGUAGUUGCAUUGAUCCUUUUAUCGUUAUGUAAUGCCCUUCUUUGUCUCUUGAUCUUCGUUGGUUUAAAGUACAUUUUAUCAGAGACUAGGAUUGCUACCCCUGGUUUUUUUUUGCUCUCCAUUUGCUUGGUGUAAAUCUUCUUCCAACCCUUUAUUUUGAGUCUGUGUGAGUCUUUGCACGUGAGAUGGGUCUCCUCAAUACAGCACACCAAUUGGUCUUGACUUUUUAUCCAGUUUGCCAGACUGUGUCUUUCGAUUGGGGCAUUUAGGCCAAUUAUAUUCAAAGUUAAUAGUGUUAUGUUUGAAUUUGAUCCUGUCAUUUUCUUACUGGCUGUUUGUUUUGCCUGUUAGUUGUCACGGUUUCUUCAUUGUGUCAUUGUUCUUUACCAUUUGGCACAUGCUUGUAGUGGCUGAUACUGGUUGUUCCUUUCCAUGGUUAGCACUUACUUCAGGAGUUCUUUGUAAGGUAGGUCUUGUAGUGACAAAGUCUUUCAGCAAUUGCUUGUCUGUAAAGGAUUUUAUUUCUCCUUCACUUCUGAAGCUAAGUUUGGCCGGAUAUGAAGUUCUGGGUUGAAAGUUAUUUUCUUUAAGAGUGUGGAAUAUUGGCCCUCCACUCCCUUCUAACUUGUAGGGUUUCUGCCGAGAGAUCUGCUGUGAGUCUGAUGGUCUUUCCUUUGUGGGUGACUGGACCUUUCUCUCUGGCUGCCCUUAGCAUUUUUUCCUUCAUUUCAACCCUGGUCAAUCUGACAAUUAGGUGCCUUGGGGUUGCUCUUCUCGAGGAGUAUCUUUGUGGUGUUCUCUGUAUUUCCUGGAUUUGAAUGUUGGCUUGCCUUGUUAGGUUGUGGAAGUUCUGUUGAAUAAUAUCCUGACGAGUGUUUUCCAACUUGGAUUCAUUCUCUCUGUCACAUUCAGGUACACCGAUCAAGCGUAGAUUAGAUCUUUUCACAUAAUCCAUAGUUCUUAGAGGCUUUGUUCGUCUCUUUUCACUCUUUUUUCUCUCAUCUUGCGUUUUCAUUUUAUUUCAUUGAUUUGAUCUUCUAUCUCUGAUGUCGUUUCUUCUACUUGAUUGAUUUGGCUGUUGAAACUUGUGUAUGCCUUGCGAAGUUCUCAUGCUGUGUUUUUCAGCUUCAUCAAGUCAUUAAUGUUCUUCUCUUAGCUGGUGAUUCUAGUUAGCCUUUCAUCUAACUUUUUUACAAGGUUUUCAGUUUCUUUGCAUUGGGUUAGAACAUGUUCCUUUAGCUCAGAGAAGUUUGUUACUACCUACUUUCUGAAGCCUGCUUCUGUCAGUUCGUCAAACUCAUUCUUUGUCUUGUUUUGUUCCCUUGAUGGUGAGGAGUUGUGAUCCCUGGGAGGAGAAAAGGUGUUACGGUCUUUGACGGUUUCAUCCUUUUUGUGCUGGUUUCUUCCUAUCUUUGUGAAUUCAUCUCCCUUUGGUCUUAUAAGUUGGUGCUUUUAGGAGUAAUCUCAGUGGACUUUAUUUCUGUUGAGGUUGAAACUAUACCUUUUUGGCCUGUAGAAGCGCUGCUGGGCUGCCUCAGGUUCAGUCAGGCUGCUGGGUGGGUGGUCCUCCCCUUUGGUUUGUUUGCAGGCUAGAUUAGCCCGGCCUUCCCAAUGGCAUCUCUCCUUCCCGGAGCUUGAUCUUCCGGGUUGGGGUCAAACUGGUGUAUUCCCUGCAAGCUCUCUAGCCUGCCGGCUUCAGUUUGAGUUUUGUGGUGGUGGGACCUGCCAGGCCUUAUGUCCUGUUUCCCUGCUUUCAACUCUGCCUCUUUUUGUUCGAUGGUCCGUCCCGCUGGCCUUGGUCCAAACUUCUGCCCAGAUCCCUUUGACAACAAGUGGGACACCAGGCAGGAGCAGUAGUGCAGAUAUGAAUUGACAACGCAUGGCGCCCCUCAGUCUGGUGGGGCUCUCAUGGACCGUGAGUUACAGGAGGGUUGAGGUAAGCACAGGAUCCAAAUCAGAGCACCGAGGAGGGUGAAGUCCCCGAUCCUUCGAACCAGCUGCACAUUCCAGCUGCCCUGUCUUGGUUCAUCCUCCCUGGGUGGCUCUCUCCCUGCUUCUGCUCCUUCUCUGGGCUAUUAUUUUCAGUGUCCUAUGAGUCCCACCAAAACCGCCACCUCGCAUGGAAUCAUGAAGUCCUCUAGCCCUCGAAGUCUGAUUUGCUGGGAGCUGCAUUUCUGUGUUGCCUCCUCUCGGCCAUAUUGGCACGCCUACCCCAAAAUCCAUAUAUAUAUACAUAUAUGCUUUUUUUUUUUUUUGAGACAGAGUCUUGCUCUGUCACCAGGCUGGAGUGCAGUGGCGCAAUCUCGGCUCACUGCAACUUCUGCCUCCUGGGUUCAAGUGAUUCUUCUGCCUAAGCCUCCUGAGUAGCUGGGACUUCAGGCACAUGCCACCACGCCCGGCCAAUUUUUGUAUUUUUAGUAGAGACGAUAUUUCACCAUGUUGGUCAGGAUGGUCUCGAUGUCUUGACCUCAUGAUCUGCCCACGUCGGCCUCCCAAAGUGCUGGGAUUACGAGCAUGAGCCACUGCGCCCGGCCGAAUCUGUAUUUUUUAAUCCUUUAAUGUUUUGGUAGAAUGUACUUAUGAAUUUAUCGGUGUUUUCUUUAUGGAAGCUUUUAAAUUACUAAUUCAAUGUCUUUAAUAGGUAUGUGAAUAUUCAAGUGGCAUAAAUAUACAUAUAUUUGGAUACAGUCUCACUCCGUUGCCCCACUGAAGUGCAAUGUGCAAUGGCUUGAUCUCGGCUCAUUGCAACCUCCGCCUCCCAGGUUCAAGGUAUUCUCGUGUCUCAGCCUCCAAGGUACCUGGGACUAUAGGCAUGUGCCACCAUGCCUGCCUACAUUUUUUUGUAUUUUUGUAUUUUUAGUAGAGACGGGGUUUCACCAUGUUGGCUAGGCUGGUCUUGAACUCCUGACCACCCGCCUCGGCCUCCCAAAGUGCAGGGGUUACAGGUGUGAACUACUGUGCCCAGCCAGGUUAUAUAUUUUUUGAAUGAGCUUUGGUAGUUUGUUUUUUUGAGAUGGAAUCUCACUCUUGCUCAGGCUGGAGUGCAGUAGCAUGAUCUCAGCUCAUUGCAACCUCUGCCUCCCAGGUUUAAGCAAUUUUCCUGUCUUAUGCUCUCCAGUAGCUGUGACUACAGGCGCUCACCACCCUGCCCGGCUAAUAUUUAUACUUUUAGUAGAGAAGGGGUUUUACCAUGUUAGGCUGGUCUCCAACUCCUGACCUCAGGUGAUCCACCCGCUUUGGCCUCCCAAAGUGCUGGGAUUACAGGCGUGAGCCAACACGCCCGGCCUUUUUUUUUUUUUUUUUUGAGACAGGGUCUCACUCUGUUGCUCAGAUCGGAGUGCAGUAGAGCGAUCUCCGCUCACUGCCAACCUUGCCUCCCAAGCUCAAGUAAUUCUUCAACCUCAGCCUCCCAGGUAGCUGGGAUUACAGGCUCACGCCACUACUCCCAGCUAAUUUUUGUGUUUUUAGUAUAGAUGGAGUUUUGCUAUGUUGGCCAGUCUGCUCUCGAACUCCUGACCUCAAAUGAUCCACCCGCCUCUGCCUCUGAAAGUGCUAGGUUUACAGGCAUGAGCCACCACACCCAGCUUCUAUAUUCUUUGGUAGUUUGUAUCUUUUAAGGAAUUAAAAGAUAACAAGGAAGAUAAGAAAAGAUAUUAAGGACAUUAUUUCAUUGAUUUUUGGUUUGGUGUUUAUUAUUUUCUUUUUUCUGCUUGCUUUUUGUUUAAUUUGUUCUUCUUUUUCUAGUUUCUUAACUCCAAGUCACUGAAUUAAGGUUUUUUUUUUUUUCAAAUCGGCAUUUUGUGCUGUUUUUUUCUACAUACAUUUUUUGGUGCCACCCCACAAAUUUUGACAUUUUCAUUUUGAUUCUGUUCAAAAUACUUCCUAAUUUCCCUCUUGAUUUCUUUUUAGUCCUGGAAUGUGCUAUUUAGUUUACAUAUAUUUAGGGAUGUUCCAGCGAUCUUUCUGUGGUUAUUACCUAUUUUGAUUCUCAUAUGGUCAAAGAAUAUAGUUUUAUGAAUUUUGUUUUUUUAAAAUUGGUUCAGGAUUCUUUUAUGGCCCAGAAUAUGGUAUGUCUUGGUAAAUGUUCAGUGUGUUCUUUAAAAGAUGUGUGUUCUGCCAUUGUUGGCUGAAGAAUUAUAAAAUAUCAGCUAGGUCAAAUAAGUCUUGAGUUUUCAAGUCUUUUAUAUCCUUCAGUGAUUUUUCUAUCUACUUCUAUCAUUUAUGGGGAAAGAUACAUUGAAGUCUUUCAAUCUAAUUGUGAAUGGCUUUUCCUUGAAAUUCUAUUAAUUUUUGCCUAAGUUAUUUUGAAACUCUACAUAGACUUUUAACACUGUUAAGUCUUUUUUAACUUCUUUGUCAUUAUGAAAAGGUCUUCAUUGGUGGUAGUUUUCUUUGGUCAGAAUUCUGCCCAGGGGAUCUUUGGUCUAUAGCGAAUUAAGCGACGAAGAAAAGUAAACUUGGAAAAAUAAUUAAAAAUAUACUCCAAGUGAUUGUUGAUAAUAAAUUUGUUCAGGCUGUGUUAAGACUUGCAUCAAUUUUUUAGUAAUAGAUGAGUGUAGGAGAGUGCUAAAACUGUGAAGUCUUAAAACAUUUUAAUAUUGCUGAAAAUUAGCUUUUUUCAGUUUUGAAAAUAACAGCUUCCAAAUAAUGAGUUUUAAAAAUAAAAUUAGACUUAAAUAUAUAAAGUUUAGAGAUAAAAAGUUUUAUGAUAAAAUAUGCCAGAAACAGAAUUCAAAAGAUACCUAACUUGCUUCGUGUAUAAAAGAUAAAUAAAGGCUUGGCUUGGUAUGGUGGCUCACAGGGGGCCGAGAUGAUCACUUGAGCUCAGGAGUUUGAGACUAGCCUGGGCAACAUGGCAAAACCCCAUCUCGACCAAAAAUACAAAAAUUAGCUGGGCAUGGUAGCAGGUGCCUGUAGUCCCAGCUACUCAAAAGGCCGAGGCAGGAGGAUCCCAUGAGAGCCAGGGAGGUGGAGGUUGCAGUGAGCUGAGAUCGCACCAUUUCUAGCCUGGGUGACAGAGUACCACCCUGUUCCAAAAAAAAGUAAAGGCUUGCUGUUUAUUCCAUUUCAAGGAAUUAGUAAGAAAAAUCGUAGGUUAAUGGGUAAAAGAUAUGAAUAGGUAAUUCAGUGGCAAUGCUUAUUGAAAUCAAUGAAAGACAGAAAAAAAGACACUGAAGGAAAUGCAAAUUGUAGUAUUAGUACAAUAUCCUUUCUUAUCUACUUUAUUGGGAUAAAUUAACUGGACGCAACUACUGUUGACAGUGAUGGGGAAAGGUUACUUUUUUUUUUUUUUUUUUUUGAGACGGAGUUUCGCUCUUGUUACCCAGGCUGGAGUGCAAUGGCGCGAUCUCGGCUCACCGCAACCUCCGCCUCCUGGGUUCAGGCAAUUCUCCUGCCUCAGCCUCCUGAGUAGCUAGGAUUACAGGCAUGUGCCACUGUGCCCAGCUAAUUUUUUGUAUUUAUAGUAGAGACGGGGUUUCAUCAUGUUGACCAGCCUGGUCUUUAUCUCUUGACCUCGUGAUCCACCCGCCUCGGCCUCCCAAAGGGAAAGGUUACUUUUAUAUGUUGCUUGUGGAAUCGUUAAUUGUCACUUUCUUUUUUUAGAUAGGUAAUUCUUUGGCCUCAUUCAGGGAGCUCCUGCCUUGAGCACCUCUUCACACUUGGGGGCACAAGUCUGUUACUCAGACUUUACAACAGUGGCUUUGAGUUCUGCCUUGUUUCUGGCAUCCGAGGAAUUUCUUUUGAUCCUUUUGGUAUUUCUUAUAUAUUGUUAUUUUUUUAUUUUGUUUUACUCAGCAUUUCUACUUUCUGUUACUUUGGGUGAGGUUUUCCAUAGCAUUUAAGUUCACCAUAAUGACUGGAGCACAUCACAAUUUCUUUUUUAUAACCAUACAAGUUGUCUUGCAAGUAUUAAGGAGACAGUCCGAUGUUAAUAAAAUGUAAAAUAACUCAUGGAAUUAGCAUCUAUAAGCCCUUCCUGAUCAAGGUAUUUAACAGUCAAAUAUAAUUAACCAAGAAGUAAACGAAAGUAAAGAACACUGGAAUAGAGGAGCUGUGACAGUGGGCUGGUGCUAAGCAUUGAAUCCAUGUAAGUAUUGAACUUGAAGAGCAACUGAGGGAGUUAAGAUUGUACGAUAAAAUGUUUUUCUGGCCGGGUUUGGUAGCUCACACCUGCAAUCCCAGAACUUUGGGAGGCUGAGGCAGGCGGAUCACCUGAGGUUGGGAGUUCGAGACCAGUCUGGCCAACAUGGAGAAACCCCAUGUCUACUAAACAUACAAAAAUUAGUCGGGUGUGGUCGUGCAUGCUGUAAUCCCAGCUACUCGGGGGGCUGAGGCAGGAGAAUCACUUGAACCCGGGGGGUUGGGAGCUGCAUUCAGCAAGAAUUGAUCCACUUAACUCUACCCUUGGUGAGAGCGAAACUCUUGUCUCAAAAAAAAGUACAGACAGAUAAGCUGGGGAUUGGAUGGUGCUAUUAGUAUCAUACAAACCAGACCAUAAGACAGAGUAUUAUCAGAAAUAAGGAGGGACUUUUCAUAAUGUUAAAUGGAUCAAUUCGUCAGAAAGCUGUAGCAAUCAUAAAUUCAUGCCAGUAGGAAGUUAAAAAUAAUAAAGCAGCCUAGUACAGUGGCUCACACUUGUAAUCCCAGCACUUUACAAGGCCAAGGUGGGCGGAUCACCUCAUGUCAGGAGUCAGAGACCAGCCUGGCCAACAUAGCAAAAUCCCGUCUCUACUAAAAAUAUAAAAAUUAGCUGUGCGUGGUGACUGGCGCCUAUAAUCCCAGCUACUGGGGAGGCUGAGGCAGGAGAAUCGCCUGAACCCCGGGGGGGCAGAGGUUGCAGUGAGCCAAGAUCACAUCACUUCAGCCUGGGCGAAAGGGUGAAACUCUGUCUAAAAAGAAAAAAAAAAAAAAAAAAUAUAUAUAUAUAUAUAUACACACACACACACACACACACACACAUAUGUAGAGAGAGGGCGAAAAUUGACAAAAUUAAGAGGAAAAACAUACUUUUACAAUUAGUGCUAAAGAUUUUUUUUAAUAAAUUUCUAGCAAAAAAAAAUUUAGUAAAGACAUAGAUGAUCUGAGGAAUACUACAAACCACCUCAGUAUAAUUGAUAAUUAUUGAACACGACUUCCUCAAAUGGUGAAGUAGGUGAGUGUACAUCAUAUAUUCACCAACAUAGUCCAAAUGAUAGACCAUGAAAUAUGCCUUGAUACAUUUUUUGUGUGUGCUUUGAUAGAUUUAUUUUUUGAGACAGAGUCUCGCUUGCUCUGUCACCCGGGCUGGAGGGCAAUGGUGCAAUUUCGCCACCUCUGCCUCCUUGAUUCAAGCUAUUCUUGUGCCUUAACCUCCCGAGUAGCUGGGAUUAUGGGCAUGUGCCACCGCCUGGCUAAUUUUUGUAUUUUUAGUAGAGAUGGUUUCACCUUCUUGGCCAGGCUGGUCUCGAACUCCUGACCUCUGGUGAUGCGCCUGCUUUGGUCUCCCAAAGUGCUGGGAUUACAGGCAUGAGCCACUGUGCCCAGCGGAUAAAUUUUAAAUGAUUGAAAUGUAUAUAUAUUCUCUCACCACAAUGCAAGUAAAAUUAAAAUAGAAAUUAUUAAAAUAAGAUAUCUAGAAAUGUUUCACAUAUUUGGAAAUGAGACAGUACAAUUUUAAAUGAACCAUGAGUCAAAGGGAAAUCACAGUUAGAAAAUAUUUUUAACCAAAUGGUAAUGAUAAUGUAAUAUCAUAAUUCAUGGAAUGUAGCUAAAGCAGUGCUUGGAGGGCAAAUUAUAGUUUAAAUGCUUUUGUUGUAAAGAAAGAAAAGUCUAUAAAUGUCAGUGACCGAAGUUUCUACCUUAGGAAGCUAGAAAAAGAACAGCAAAGUAAACCUUAGAGUAAGUGCAAGUAAGGAAAUAAUGGAGUAGAAAUCAAUGAGGUGGAAAACAAACAGAUAAUAGAGAAACUUUAAAAAGCCAAAAUCUGGUUCUUUGGCAAGAUCAACAGCAGUAAUAAACCCUUAUCUUCAGUGAACAAGAAACUGACAAUGUGACAUGUUGUAAUAGUAAAGGAAUAAACUACGUGCUGUGGAACAUAGAGAAAGGCUCAUUCUGAAUUUGCUUAUCAAAGCUGGUUUCAGAGAGGUGGUCAAAUUUGUGUUUGCCUUUCAAGAAUUAGUAUGAAUUUUUCCUGAUACAGAUUGGUAAAAAGAAUAUUCUGAGAGACCAUAAGAGCAAAAUAAUUUUUUUCCGGGCUUAUGGCAUAUUUAUAACAGUAUUUUUAUUUUUUUGAGACAGAGUCUCGCUGUAGUGCAGUGGUGCGAUCUCGGCUCACUAUAACCUCUGCCUACCUGUUCAAGCAGUUCUGGUGCCUCAGCCUCCGGAGUAGCUGGGAUUAUAGGCAUGUGCCAUCAGCCCCAGCUAAUUUUUAAAUUUUUAGUAGAAUUGGGCUUCUUCAUGUUGGCCAGGCUGGUCUUGAACUCCAGUCUCGAGUGAUCCACACAUUUUCGCCUUCCAAAGUGCUAGGAUCACAGGUGCAAGCCACUGCACCUGGCCUAGAAUGAUAUAUUGACUUUGUCUGUGACAUGUGGGUUAUGUUAGGUGGAGAGCAGUAGGUGAUGUGAAAGGAAAAGCAGUUUGAUUCUAGAGUGUACAGAACCUUAGAGUACCCUCCUUGGUAACUUGGACUUUAUUCUGUAUAAAAUAUGAAGCUUAGCAUCUGAAGCUUUGUUUUCUUUGUUUGUUUGGUGUUUUUCUGUUUGUUUUUGAGAUGGAGUCUCAUUCCACCUAGGCUGGAGUGCAGUGGUGCAGUCCUGGCUAACUGCAAUCUCUGCCUCCUGUGGUCAAGCCAUUCUGCCUCAGCCUCCUGAGUAGCUUGGAUUGCAGGCACAUGCAUGAUGCCCGGCCAAUUUUUGUAUUUUUAGUAGUGACGGGGUUUCACCAUGCUGGCCAGGCUGGUCUUGAACUCCUGACCUCGUGAUCUGCCCACCUCAGCCUCUCAAAGUAUUGGGAUUACAGGUGUGCGCCACUGUGCCUGUCUAAAAAACUCAUUUCAGGUUUUAUGUUUUUUUGUUUUUUGAGACAGAGUCUCACCCUGUCACCCAGGCUGGAGUGCAAUGGUGUGAUCUCAGCUCACUGCAGCCUCUGCCUCCCAGGCUCAAAUGAUUCUCCUGCCUCAGCCUCCCGAGUAGCUGGAAUUAUAGGCACCCACCACCACAUACAGCUAAUUUUUGUAAUUUUAAUAGAGACGGAGUUUCACCAUGUUGGCCAGGCUGGUCUCAAACUCCUGACCUGUGAUACACCUGCCUUGGCCUCCCAAAGUGCUGGGAUUACAGGCAGGAGCCAUCAUGCCCGGCCUCAUUUAAAUUUUCAAAUGAGUUUUUUCAAUGAAAUAUAUCAAACUGAAAAUACUUAGAAUGACACACUGAACACUUAUUACCACUUCUCUGCUUUAACAGGUCUCAUACUUCACCGUAUUUGUCUCAGAUUUUAAGAGAUUAAGACAUCAUAGAUACAAUUGAAGCUCUCUUUGUACCUUUCCAUCUCAUACCACAAUUAAGUCCUAUUCUGAAGUUACAUAUCCUUACCAUGCAUUUCUUUUU